rnacentral:lncRNA from 1 species
AGCUCACUGCUGGAGUGGAUCUUAGAGUUCGUAGAGACCCUUAUUCACAUUUUUGACAGGAGAAUAUUUAUCUGACUUGUGAAAAUGUGUGCCAUAUAUGGACAAGCAUAUAAACAUAAUCAUUAUUUCCAUAGCCUUCUUCAUAAAUUUACAUCUGUCUUUUUCAAGAAAAAAAUGAAGUGAUACUGAAACCCCAGAGGCAUACAGAGACUACUCACAGUAACAAAUACUUGAACAUGCAUGGUUGUGAUCACCACAAUAUCCUCACUCAAUUUUCUCAUCUGGCUUCUUCAAGGAAAAAAGAAAAAGAAAAAAAAAAGACAUAGAAAAAUUAAUAAAUAAUGUCUAAACUUAUUCAGGUGGUAGCCCGAAUUGUAGUCAUUUUACUAUAACAUAUUAUCUAUGUUAUUAGAGCUGAUCUUUACAAACAUUGGUACUUGGUAUGAAGCUGUUUAUGUAUGGAAGGCUUUUAUUCAGUCCUCAUUAUUAGAAAUAAUCAAAAGCAAUAUGCAAUUACAGGGCAAGAAAAAUAGCAUAAAAAAUCUAUGUUAACUCUCCUGCUAUCUGUGACUAUGUAGUCGCAAACUUAUUCAGCAGAACAUUGUGCUGGCCUACUAUAUUAAUGAAUAAUGUUAAGUGGACCUGAGCAGAAAGUGGCAAAUUUCCUAGACAUCAUAGAAAGACACAGACCUGGCAGAGGAUAAGAGAAAAACAAAUCUCACACACCAAAAAACAAGGUCCUGUGAAUUUCUUGGAAAGAUAGUGGUCUGUGAAAUGUUGUGCUAUCCUCCUUAAGGUCCAAGACAAGUAGUUGCACCUUGCAUCUCCUGCCACUAAAAGGUACAGAGUUGAAAUGUUACUGUACUCUUCGACCUCGUUUAUUGCGUGACUUCAAAUAUUGUCAAUGUCAAGUGAGGACCAUUGUUAAGAGACUACUCUUAAGAAUAUUCAGACUCCAGGCCGGGCGCCGUGGCUCACGCCUGUAAUCCUAGCACUCUGGGAGGCCGAGGUGGGCGGAUCACGAGGUCAGGAGAUGGAGACCAUCCUGGCUAACACAGUGAAACCCCGUCUCUACUGAAAAAUACAAAAAAUUAGCCGGGCAUAGUGGCUGGCGCCUGUAGUCCCAGCUACUCGAGAGGCUGAGGCAGGAGAAUG